UUCAUGCUAUUUUUGGUAUGAAAACACAAGCAUUUUUCAAUCUCAGCACUCACAUAUGAGUGAGAAUAUGGUCUAUAGAUCCCCAAGCCGAGAACACUGAUCUGAAGGGUUAUGGGGGGAUUUUAAAUAACAUGACAUUCUUUAAAGAGCUUAACCCAAUACUGAGUAAGUGCUCAGUAAUUUUCAGUUUCCUUCUCUUCCCUUUUCACUUUAUAGAUUAGACUUUCAUAGUCCACAGUGAGCAUUAAUUUGUUCAGCGCUGCCUUCAGGUGGAACAUCUGCAUAAAUCUAGCUUUGUGAAUAUUUUUAAACUGAGAGAUUUUCCAUCUGUUUUGGAGUUAUAGCAGUCCACAUUAUCCUCACUUGAGCUCUUAAUGAUAUAUGUGUGAUGGAAACAAGACGUCUUAACGUACAUUCAUGGACACCAUGGAUCCCAGAGAGAAGCUGACAGAAACAGUCUGACCUCCAAUGUAUCAGUGAGGUCAACUGCUUGAUCUCUGGUGCCUAAGAUUAUUGCAGGGAAAUGUUUGAUGAGGAAAAGAAAGUAAUCAAAUUCCUGGAUGAGUUAUGCAAUAGGUUAAGAAGAAAAGUCUGAAGUAAGCUAUAACUAAGUUCUUUGCAACCUUGCUCUUCAACGUGUGGUUAAAAAAAAAAACACAAAGCAAAUAAACAAAAAAAAGCAAAAAUAGAC